UUAAGUUCAGCGGGUAUCCCUACCUGAUCCGAGGUCAACCUUGAGAAGGGGGGGUUUUUUACGGCCGGUCACCCGUCGCGUGCCCUGAGCGUGGUAAAUUUACUGCACUCGGUACGACGACGAGCCCGCCACUGGGUUUGGGAGCUGCGGCAGCCGCAGGGCUCCAACACAAGCACAGGGGCUUGAUGGUUGAAAUGACG
rnacentral:misc_RNA from 1 species